UUCAUCACCGGAACCUACAACGGGAGGAAUGUUAGAUAGCCUCGUAACUUACUAAGUUGAUGCACCUCGAGCAGUAAGAGUGCACCGUAGUGGAUUUUAUACUAGCGACUGGAAUCGACCAGAGGAUGUGAAUUGAAAGAAUUGAAUGAACUGGAUAUAUACUAAGACUUAAGUAUAGUCAUUAUAUAGUAAUUAUAUAGUAAUUUGGAUAUAAUUAUAUCCAAAUAUAUAUAAUAUACUUUAUCCAAAUUAAUUAAAUCGUUAGAAGUGUUAAAUGUGAAGUGUUUUCUUGGUUGGCACUGAGAAAUGCGGGGGAAGUCAGAAUUAACGGCCUAAGUACUAAUUACUGGGGCCAAAAUCAUGGUAUAACCGACCAGGAGAUGAUUCUACAUACAAAUCGAAAAAAAAACAUUUUUCCAUUUAAGGCUCCAUUUUCGAAAAAGAUAAGUUGAAAAAAUAAUACUAUAGAAUAGAAAUGAAACGGUGCGUCUGGCCAUGACAUACCAAUUCUACUUCUCGACAACCACGCGAACUUGACGCAUCUCCCAACUUUUUUUCUCGAAAACGCAGUUUUACAACCAUUUUACUUUUGCAAAAUAUUCUAAAAAAUGGUUUGAUUUACAGGUGUGGAAUGUUCUUAUAAAAAAACAAACCUAUGAAAGAAUAAGAAGUAUAAAAAAAAUAGAGUACAGGCUGUUAUAUUGGGCAAAAAUGAUCACGCGUAGAAAAUCCAAUUUUAUAAAUAUGGUGUGUGCUUUCAUUUUUAUCUGCUACAUCGAGAAUAGAGUAGUGUAGAUCUAACUAUUAUACAAAGAAUUAUUUCCUCAUACAUGA